AGCUUAUUCCUGUGCUGUCCAACUUUCCAGUGCAAGAGGUAAGGGGCAUCUUCACUCUCUCAUCACUCAUUGGUAAACUUUCCUCUAUUAUGGCUCUGCUUACCCCUGCCUCACAAGACCUCCUAGAAGCUUAUUCCUGUGCUGUCCAACUUUCCAGUGCAAGAGGUAAGGGGCAUCUUCACUCUCUCAUCACUCAUUGGUAAACUUUCCUCUAUUAUGGCUCUGCUUACCCCUGCCUCACAAGACCUCCUAGAAGCUUAUUCCUGUGCUGUCCAACUUUCCAGUGCAAGAGGUAAGGGGCAUCUUCACUCUCUCAUCACUCAUUGGUAAACUUUCCUCUAUUAUGGCUCUGCUUACCCCUGCCUCACAAGACCUCCUAGAAGCGUAUUCCUGUGCUGUCCAACUUUCCAGUGCAAGAGGUAAGGGGCAUCUUCACUCUCUCAUCAC